GAUGAACGCUGGCGGUAUGCUUAACACAUGCAAGUCGAACGGAGUGCUUCGGCACUUAGUGGCGGACGGGUGAGUAACGCGUGAGAAUCUGGCUUCGGGUUCGGGACAACAGUGGGAAACUGCUGCUAAUCCCGGAUGUGCCUAAGGGUAAAAGAUUAAUUGCCCGAAGAUGAGCUCGCGUCCGAUUAGCUAGUUGGUGUGGUAAGGUCGCACCAAGGCGUCGAUCGGUAGCUGGGCUGAGAGGACGAUCAGCCACACUGGGACUGAGACACGGCCCAGACUCCUACGGGAGGCAGCAGUGGGGAAUUUUCCGCAAUGGGCGAAAGCCUGACGGAGCAAUACCGCGUGAGGGAGAAAGGCUCUUGGGUUGUAAACCUCUUUUCUCAGGGAAGAAAAAAAUGACGGUACCUGAGGAAUCAGCAUCGGCUAACUCCGUGCCAGCAGCCGCCGUAAAAC
rnacentral:rRNA from 1 species